rnacentral:rRNA from 1 species
AGUGAACGCUGGCGGUAGGCCUAACACAUGCAAGUCGAACGGCAGCACAGUAAGAGCUUGCUCUUACGGGUGGCGAGUGGCGGACGGGUGAGGAAUACAUCGGAAUCUACUUUUUCGUGGGGGAUAACGUAGGGAAACUUACGCUAAUACCGCAUACGACCUACGGGUGAAAGCAGUGGAUCUUCGGACCUUGCGCGAUUGAAUGAGCCGAUGUCGGAUUAGCUAGUUGGCGGGGUAAAGGCCCACCAAGGCGACGAUGCGUAGCUGGUCUGAGAGGAUGAUCAGCCACACUGGAACUGAGACACGGUCCAGACUCCUACGGGAGGCAGCAGUGGGGAAUAUUGGACAAUGGGCGCAAGCCUGAUCCAGCCAUACCGCGUGGGUGAAGAAGGCCUUCGGGUUGUAAAGCCCUUUUGUUGGGAAAGAAAAGCAGCAGGUUAAUACCCCGCUGUUCUGACGGUACCCAAAGAAUAAGCACCGGCUAACUUCGUG